UGCCAGAAAACUAUGUGACAUUUCUAAGCACGUAUCUAACUGCUUUUUGUGGAAACAUGAUUAUUUCUGAGUUUUCUGGAA
ensembl:snoRNA